CGUAAGGGGCGAGCGUUGUUCGGGAUCAUUGGGCGUAAAGGGUGAGUAGGCGGAUAUGCAAGUCUAUGUGUAAAAUACCACAGCUCAACUGUGGAACUAUGCUGGAAACUGCAUGACUAGAGUCUGAUAGGGGAAGUUAGAAUUCCUGGUGUAAGGGUGGAAUCUGUUGAUAUCAGGAAGAAUACCAGAGGCGAAGGCGAA
rnacentral:rRNA from 1 species